UUUUGUGUGAUUGACAGGAGUGCAAAAGAAGGAAUUCGAAUUGAUUAACUCAAACUAAAGUUUUAAACCAACUAGCGAAACGAGAACCCACGUGAUCAAUAGCUAAAAUAUUUAUUGGUCCAAAGAAACUUUUUGUGUCCGAUAGAGAAGAUGCUCAUUCGAGGUCCAGAAGACGUACUUAGCUUAGCUACAGAAGAUUUUUAUAAUAUGGAGUUUUGUUAGCCCAAAAAUUUGUGUAUUCAAGUUCAAAGAUGAUGAUGUUUAUUCAGCGUUACUUUUUCAUAUAUCAUUAAUGUAAAAAUAUAUAUUUUAUAACUUAACUAUGAAGUCUAAUUUAAAUCUCGAGUCUAAGUUCCACCUUGACAAUAAUUGACCAUUGUAUCUUAAAUUGUAAAUUUAUUAUUACUCUAUUAUUUAUUGUAAUUAGAAUUAAUAUAUCAUAAAUGUA
rnacentral:lncRNA from 1 species